AUGGCAGACCGGAAGGCUGCAAUGGACUCACUUCCUUGCGUGAGGAAAGCAUCGAGAAACAAUUGAUUUGCAGAUACUGAAGCUCGCAAGGCGUUUUACUGCGGCCUGGGCUUCGCUUCAUUUCCUGCCAGCCACCGCAGGACGAUGCCUGGAGGUCGGAGGCAGUUCUAUGUGGAAGUGGAGAGCGCGAGGGAACUCAUAUCCCACCCCCCAACUCCCCACCCCACAACACACAGAAAACCUCUAAGCGCCGUUCAUCUGGGAUCUGGAGGCACAAUGCGGAAGUUCAUCCUUUAUUGUGCGAUAGGUAUUAAGCGCCUACUGUGUGCUGGGCACUAAUCAGAAUCCUAAUGGGGAAACUGAGCAUUAAGUAAGUAGAUGUUUUGGAGGCUCCGAGGGGAUGGCAGGUGCGAAGACCAGGAAGUGAAGAGGAGUGGCGCGUGGUCGGUGCUAGGUCGUGACAGAAGACAAAAAAUUAUAAGCGGCAAAGUGAGGGAAGAUGAAGGGUCAGUGAAUGACAUAGGCCAGACAUAAGAAAAAGAAGUAGCCAAUGGGUUUGCUUUUUAAAGUGCUGUGGAGAGCCUUGGAAGGAUCUUAGGCAGGGAGUCUCAUGAUCUGAUUUAUGCGUUUAAAAGAUCUCUCUGGCUGUUGUGUGGAGAAUGGAUUGGAGAGGGCAAAAGAUCAAACUUAGAUAAACUGAGUAGGAGACUGUCUAAUCCAAGUGAAAGAUGCUGCCCAGGCCGGAUAGUGGCAGUGGGAAUGAAAAGAAGGGACUGGGUUUGAGGAUAUUAGGAGAUAAAAAUCAGUUAAGAAGAAACGACGGAUUGGAGAUGGCUACCCCAAGUUUCUGAAAUGAUACUUGAAUCAAAAUAUUACCUCUUUGUUCUAGGUGGAUUCGAGAAGAAUGCACCCCUAUCUCUGGACAGUGAAAGAAUUGAGUUUCUGAACCAACAAAUUGAUUCCAAACCACCUGGAACCGAGAUAGUUACUUCCUUUCACACCACUCAGAACUUUCCCUGGUGCCUGACACAGUGCUGGUGGCAUGGCAGAUCAUGAGCAAGCAGGUAGAUAACCAGGUCCUUCAACGGCAAGUUCCUCUCCCCUCCAGGGGACAUCUCCCUGCUUCCUGCUUGGGGUCUGGGAACAGCCUCUCUCUGACUCUUCUGCCCCUAAAUCUACAUUGCUCCUACUUCUGCCCUCCAUGGAUAGCAGUGGCAUCUCUCUCUCAUUUUAAAUGAACUUUUUGAGGUAUGACAUAUAUAUCCAAAAUCGUAUAAAAGUGCACAUCUUGAUGGGUUAUUACAAAGUGAACACACUUGUGUAACUACCACUGAGAAUCAGAAAUACUCUUGCCUGUGUCCCAGAAGCUCCCUUGGUGUCCCCUUCUAGUCAUCAACCCCUCCCGCCUCCCCAGAGUGAACCACUAGCCUGGUUUCUAACACUGUAGAGUUGUUUCGCCUUGGGUUAAAUUUAUAUAACUAGAAUCAUACAGUAUAUAUUCUUAUGUCUGUCUUCUUUCACUCAAUAUCAUGUUGCUUGGAUUCAUUCACGUUGUUAUGUGUGGCUGUAGUCCAUUCAUUUUUAUCACCGUGAAUAUUCCAUUGUAUGAGUGUAUCACAGUUUAUCCAUUUUAUUCUUAAGGUUCAUAGGGUAUUUCCAUUUUUUUCAUCUUUUGAAUAGUAUUUCUAUGAACACUCCUGUGCACCUUUUGGUAUAAUCUGUAUAUAUUUCUGUGGUUAUAGAGCUAGAAGGGAAAUUACUGGGUCAUAUGGUAUGUAUGUAUUGGAAAUUUUCCCUAGUGAUUGGCCUGCAAUUUUCCAUUCUUGUAGGGUCCUGUUCAGUUUUCAAUAUCAAGGAAAUAAAAAAUGGUCCAGGUACAUUUGAAAAGAAUGCACAUUUUUCAGGCGUCUGGUGCUAGGUUGUGUCCUUUGUGGCUUUUUUGUUGCGGUUGUCUGCUCUGUGAAAUUUCCCACCAUACUUGAGAAUUUGUCUAUUUCUCCUUUUAGUUUUGACAAUUGUGUUGUAUAUAUAUUUAAAGCCAUGUUACCAUGUACAUAUACAUUUAGAAGUGUUGCAUAUUCUUGGUAAAUGCCCCUUUAAUCAUCAUGAAAUGUUCCUCUUCAUCUCUAUUAUAGUCUAAAUUGUCCGAUAUUAAUAUAGCUACAAAAGAUUUGUUUUGGUUAGUGUUUUCAUGGUGUACCUUUUUCAUCUUUUCACUUUCAGUCUUUCUGUAUCCUUAUAUUUUAACUCUGUCUCUUAUAAGUAGUAUGUAGUUGUGCUUUUCUCAUCCUAAUAUCUUUGUCUUUUAA